UCCCAUCGGCUCAGGGGUCGGCCCUUACCCGAAGGACCCGAGAGCUGGGUGGGGCGGUCCUGGAGGAUUCUCGGCUGGGGCUCCCUUGGCGGCAGGGCCGCGUGGUCUCCGAGGAUGUGGCCUGUGCUUCUCCGAGGAGGAGUGGCCCGGCGCCUGCUGCGUGGAGGUUGGAUGUGGGGGAACUUGGCACCUGCGGCCCCGGGGUGGUCGGUGUGGAAUAGAGCGGGAGGCACCGGCCGAGCGGGGCGCUUUUGUAAGCGCGUCUCAGGACGCCCCUCGCAGGUCCGUCUGCUUGGGCGCGUUCCCUGAGAUGUGUGGCCUAGGCUGGAAAGACGAGUUGCUCCUGGCUGAGCACCGGGGAGCCCCGCGGGCAGAAGCUGCAGUGAGGAGGCGUGUGGGAGAGGCUUCGGCCUCAGCGCUCCCGGCCCCAAAGCAGCCCAGCCGAGAGAAACCCAGCAGAGGCGGGCAGGGUAGGGCCUCGUGGCGAGGCACUGUGGAGUCCACGUGUCAGAGAAGCCCUCAGUGUGCGGGGAGGACGGGUCCCCGCCAGCGCCGGUCUCCUCCAGCACCAGGACGGGGAAGGCCGGCAGGAGCGCCGCAGGCUGGGAGGCCGCUCACCCCGGACAGUACGGCAAGUGGGAGGGAGCCUACGGCCACCACACCGGGGCAGGUCUGAGUGAAGGUAAUCCCCGCCUCUUUCAACGGCGGAGAAUCCACGCUGGGGAAGAGCCUUAUGAGUGCAGCCACCGUGGGAAGGAUGCAUUCAGCGAAGGAUACACGCUUGUUUGGCACCAGAAGGUUCUCAGCAGAAAGGCCUGGUACUUCCCUGGCGUUCCGGUGGUUAGGACUCCGCGCUUCCACUGCAGGAGGCACGGGUUCGAUCCAUGGUCGGGGAACUAAGAUCCCCGCAAGCCAAAGGGCGCAGCACCGCCGCCGCCCCCCCCCCCCCAAAAGCCUGAUAAGUGCGGUAAUAUCAGAGAACCUUUAGCGACAUCUCUAAGCUCAGUUGGCAUCAGAAAGUUUAUACUAGAGAAAGUCCCUUUGAAUGCAUGGAAUGAAAGCAUUUUGCCAAAGGUGUGCUCUGAUUUACACUGGAAAGUUCACAGACCAGAAAAGUGUUAGGAGUGCAGCAAACGUGGGAAAACCUCCUGCCAAAACGUCAAGCUUGUGCUGCAUGGAAGUCUGUUGAGUAUGCCCAGUGUGCGAAAGCGUUAAGCUGCAGGUCCGGCUUCAUUCACCCCUGGCGGGUUCACCCUCGAAGAAGACCUCAUGGAUGCAGAGAUGGGGGAGGCCUUCCACCCGAGAGGCUUCUUCAUUCAGCAGCAGAACGUUCGCCGUAGAGAGGCCUAUGAGUGCGGCCGAUGUGAGAAAACCUUCAGUCAAGGGCCUCACCUCGUAAAGCAUCAGGAAGUUCAUGCUGGGGAAAGGCCUUAAGCGUGCAGGGGACGUGCUCUCUCUUCGUUCAGCGGAACAGGAUGUGCGCCAGAGAUGAGCUGCGAGAGCCUCUGUGAGGAUGCCCUGGGCUGGAAGUUGCGCUUCAUGGGGUUGAACGGGAUAUUCCUGACGAGCGCUAGGUGUGUGGGGAGCUUUCGGGUGCUCUCGCCUGCCCGGGGCCCUUGCCAGAGUUCUCUCGCUGAAGCCGUCUCACCACUCUGCCAGCUGGGAGGGACUCGUCACCUGUGCUCGUUCCAGGCCCUGGAGGGACCCAUGAGCAGCCUGGCCUGUUGAUGGGCCUCAUCUCCUUCCUGACUAGUUAGGGCGUGGGUGUGACCCAGCACUGGCUAGGAGGACCUCAGCUGGGCCCUUUCUGUGGCUCUCAGGGAUGGUUUACCUUUUUUCAGGGACAUUGUUGGCCUCAUGUGACUCGAUGGAUUUGUCCAGCUUCCAAGUCAGACUUCCAGGGGUACUGCCUGCCUCGCAUUAGUCUGCUGGGUGUGGAAAUAAAGGCCUUGUUACUGAAGCCACCUUGAACCUGGGGAUUUCGGCUAACUGUGUAGGAUCAGUCAGUGCUCUUAUUCUUAGGGGCACCGUGUUCAGUGAACCACUGUUAAAGAUCCCUGGGGACCAAGGUGUUUUGGUUGCGGGUACACAUCUGCUGUCUUUCUUGGUGGAUGCACCCACCUUGCCUUUGGUGGUCGAUGCCUGCCGUUUGGCCUCUGCUCCCCUGGAAUCCCAUCGUCUCCAUUGAAACCGGGGAGCCCCCAUCAGUGGCAGCAUCCCCACCAUCACGCAUGCCGUCAAGGAGAACAGUCCCGAAGCUUUCCAAGGAGACAGACGGCAGAAAAGUUCUCAGGGUUGAUCUUGGCCAGAGUUGGUCCAUAUGACUGAUGGGCAAGAGCUCUGAGCUAGUGGAAGGCGGGACCCUCUAUCCCCAGCGCCCCCCCCCUCCUGCACUGGGGUGCCUACGUGAUUCACCUGGAAGCUGCCCUGGGGAAGGGAGGUGCUGUCAACUUUGCUUAGAAGCCUGCUGGGUCGUGGCUGGGCUUGCUGGUGAGCUGCUGAGAAGCCCUCCAGGGAGUGCCCUUGAACCCUCUGGAAACUGCUUACAGGGGUGCCACUGAGCUCCCCACCAGGAAGCCACUUCAGGUGCCCUGAAGCUCACUGGGAGGCGAGCUCCUGGGUACACGGCUCCAGCCAAGCACCCGGGAACGAGGAGGAGAAACUUGCUCUUCCAGUGUCCCUCCAGCUCCCUCUACCGACAGAACCUGACGUUGCGCCAGCUGCAAGGAAGACGUGGUCUGGACCAGAAGCAGGACAGUGGGAAGUGGUGUCAGGGCUGAGAGGCCACGCGUUAACCACCGGCACAACCGAAGUCAUGUUAUGACGCUAGCCCACCCUCGAUGGCAAAACCCAGCAACGACAGCAGGAGAAAAAGAAUACUGGUCUGUGUCACAUGUGCAUGGAUGCAAAAUGCUAAAGAAAUCUCAGAAAACUGGAUUUAGCAAUAUAUAAACUGUAAGGCACUAAGACCACCUUGGGUUUAUAUUGGUGUCCGCUGGCUCUCCACCGAAAUCUGUGCUCUUCUUUCAUAGUAUGGGGCUGUCACCGUGAAGCACCCAGCUGUGACCAGGUGACCUCCUCAUCAGUGGAGUGCUGCCUCCAGGCUAAGGCUUUUAGGAAGAGAGCACGUGGGCCUCCUCCCCGUCUCUUUCCCGGUGGUGGGGUGGUGCGGAUGAUGACCAGCCCCUUGGGGAUGGAGGAGUUACCAGGUGGUGGCGUGUGAAGAGCUUCCUGCCAAUCCAGCUUCCAUCCUGGGCUAAACAGAUGAUAAACUUAUCAUGUUUUGAGCUAGUGCCCACUUCGGCUUAGGUAUGUAUGUGUAUGUGUGUGUUUUAGCCUUACCUAGCCAUAUUUAUAAGUUAUAUAGUUCACUAUAUUUACAACUUAUUAAGGGAUAAAAAUGAUAUGAUCGUGUUAACAGAUGAAAAAGUGUUUAAUAAAAAACCCCU